rnacentral:rRNA from 1 species
UACGGGGGAUGCAAGCGUUAUCCGGAAUCAUUGGGCGUAAAGCGCCUGUAGGUUGUUUAAUAAGUCUGUUGUUAAAGACUAGGGCUUAACCCUAGGAAAGCAAUGGAAACUACUAGACUAGAGUAUGGCAGGGGUAGAGGGAAUUUCUAGUGUAGCGGUGAAAUGCGUAGAUAUUAGAAAGAACACCGGUGGCGAAAGCGCUCUACUGGACCAUUACUGACACUCAGAGGCGAAAGCUAGGGUAGCAAAUGGGAUUAGAUACCCCAGUAGUCCUAGCCGUAAACGAUGGAUACUAGAUGUUGGACAGUCGCUGCAGUAUCAAAGCUAACGCGUUAAGUAUCCCGCCUGGGAAGUAUGCUCGCAAGAGUG